CGGCUGGCCGCGGAGCUGCGGUUGCGCCGGUAAGAGCCGCGGCAGCCCGGAGGGAAAGGGAGCGGUGUCCGAGUCGUAGCCAGAUGAGUAUAGCAGCUGAGCGUGCACAGUCCUCAAGAGAGAAAAGGAGGAGGUACCAUUUUCCAUCUCUCUCACAUCACCAGAGUAGCAGUGGGACAGAAGUUCCAGAAAAAGACACGCAAACAGUUUGGAAAUGCCAACUCUAGUAUCUGUUCCUGUGCCAAUUCUGUGAUAUGGACAUCUUUCCACUGUGACUGAAAUGAUGAUGUUGAGAGCUUGGAGACUAAAACAUAACAUUCAGCUCAUGGAACACCAGUCAGUGAAUGAAGCUCCGUUUCUUUCCUCCUUUCACUUUUCCACUUGGAUAUGUCAGGAGUUUCUACAAGAAUGGAAAAAUGUAAGUCAAGACCAUUGACUAAGAGUGUCAAAUUCAAAACAAAUCCAGCAGUUAUAUGCGUGCAUGCUAGCAUGGAGUAUUGCAACUCAACCACUUUUCAUUGGCUGCUUUUCCAGACAAAAAGUAUCCUGCAGAGUUUCAAACAUGCAACAGAGAAUGUUGAUGAUGCUGUCUCUGGAGAGACAUCUCAAGUUAUUAGUUUGGACAUCAAACACCAUCUUGAACUGUUUGGGGUUAAGAACAGGUGUAAGUGAAGCUACUUAUAAAUAACACAUGUUCCACUUCCUCUGGUAAUACUGACAAAAAUGUCUGUACUACAGUCAACCUCUUUCAGCUAAAUGAUUCCGUCUGUAUUGAACAUUAUAUUGCUGCAGAGACUUAUCAACAAAUGUUUUGAGACAGUGUUUUCAUUGUGAGCAUUGACAGAGUUAGAUGGGUAAACUUUGAGCAAAUUUUCUGAUGGUCAAAUUGGCAGAAUUCUCUGAGUUAUCUGUAAUUUUUCUGUUGAAAUGUUUUGCUUCAGAAAAUUCAGUUUGUUCAAAGCAGAAUUUUGUCAGGAGAAAUGUUAGUUUACUGAGAGAACAAUAGGUAAUUGUUUGACUUCUUAUUUUGAAAUGUAGGGUGAUUGUAUGCUUGCACGUGCAGACAUGCAGAGCGUGCUAUAAGAUGGAAAACAUCAUUUUGAUUAACUGAAAAAUUUCUAUAACUUUCAGUUAACAAAACAUUAAAGAUUGCUACUUUUUUCAUUUAUAAACAUUAAAUAUCCUUUUAGGAUAGGAAAAUGCUGCCCAUAAGUUUACAUGAAAGGAUAUAAUUUAAAUUUGGCAUUUGGUGCUAUGCCAAGUUUACUGGUAUUUAUUAUCAGUUGGUCAGUAAGAUUUCAUAAUGCAAUUGUACAUGCAUUUAAGUAAAUGCCUGCUAAGACGACUUAAAGCUUUGUUGCCACAUGAAGAACACAGAAGAGGAGAUGGCUUUGACAGGUUAUCUAUUAUGUUUCCAAUAUAUUGCUUCACAGUUGUUUUGGGGCCGAUUUAUGGAUGUUAUCUUAUUUUGAGCCUUCCAGUGCUCUUUAUUCAAGGAAUGCAUCUACUCAGUUUGUAAAAUAUAUAAACGUGUAUGUGUGUGUGAGAGAGUAUAUAUAUACACACUACACUAAUUAUGUAUUAUGCUUAUUAGUGUAUUUUACUUCAGCUGUAUACACGAAAACAAACUAUUACAUUUUUUAAAAAGUCCAUGUUGCUUUUGUCUGAAUAUAACCCACAUAUGAAGCAGUACAGAAGAUAUGCAGUACUGAAGUUUAGGUGACACUUAGCUGGAAAUCUGUGGAAAUUAUCUUUGAAUGUUCCUGCAGCUCUGAUAAUAUAACUGAACUAAUGACUUUUAUAUUUUGUAUAUACCUAAAUGAGAAAAAGGACAUUUCAAAGGUCAGCUAAGCCCCACUUUCUUGUAAAUUAUUUAGACUGGUGUAAGGAAUGCUCACAAAACUAUUCAGCUUCUAAGCAACCACCAAUAAAAAUACAUUCUGUAAGUACAAACUUAGUUCUUUGAAGCUUUACUCAUGUAGACAGUUCUAUCAAAACUAAAGAAAACAUAUAGAUGAUUCAGGUUGUGCAGGGCCAGGACUCAAAAAGGCACUGUUUUGGGAUGCUCAGCAUAAUAAAUACAUGUUGCAAGGUGAAAAACCCUCUAAAACUAGAGGCAGCUUCAUAAUGAUCUAGAAUCUUUGCUAUAAAAUGACACUGAUGAUGCUCAAAAGGUAGGAAAAAAAAGCUCUCCUAUAUUUGUAUAAAACUGUAGUGUAUUUCAGCUACAUAAUAACGUGAGCCACAAGCUAAUCAGCAUGUUGAAAUGUGAGAUGAUGUUAUAACUUAGUUACAAUUUAGGAUUAUAUGUUACAAAACACCUCAAAACACCUCCUUCAGUGCUCCUGAUACAGUUGCAGCUGCGAGCUUUCAUUCCUUUUGAAAACUAUGUGCAGGUGAUAGGAACUUAAACAACAACAACAACAACAACAAAAAAAAGACUGAAGAAAAUCAAGUUCGAAAAAUUUGCCAAUCAUCACGUAGGAAAUUGGCAGCAGAAUUAGGACUUUUGGGAUGUAACUUUUCAGAUCUAUUUUUUUUUAUCCAUGACAGAUAAUAAUCUAGGCCAUGUCUAUACAAGAAAAUGUUGAACUACUUUUAAAAGAAUGAUUAUAAGCCAGAUGCACUUGAAAGUUUGCCAGCUCCUUAAAUUGUUUUUGUAAUUUACAAAAUUCAGCUAAACUGAUUGAAGAGAUGAUAAAGUCAAUUUAAGUCACCUAGUUUAGGGAGCUGCAUCUGCAACUUUUCCCUCUAGACAAGACCUUGCCUAGUAAGUAGGAGGAUCAAUGGCAGAUGAAUGCAAUUGGCAAUGUAAGAAGCUGGUAAAAACAGAUUUGUUAUUAUUUGUGUGCAUUAUUUUGUAAACUAUGCAGGCAGGAAUUUUGUUUUCAUAAAUCUCUAAAGUGACAGCUAACACUUACUAAAAUUAAUACUAAUAAUAUAGACAAUGAUGUACUAAAUUGUUUUCAAUAUAGUUAUUCCAAUUUUACAGGGGUGUAGUGUUGAACUGAGUUUACUCCAUUAAGACAAAUGCAGCUACGUACAGCAAUAGGCCACUUUGUACCCUGAGUUACAUGUGUUCACUUUGAUCUGAACUGCAUGGUUCUAACUAAAGAAGAGAUAAAAGAAGGUACAGAAAGAAUAGAUGUUGCUUUGUUUAAAUUUGUAAUUCACAUAGUAUAUAUAUUUUUUUGCUAUAUUCUGUAAUAAAUAAAUAAAGGCACUGUUUGUUUGAAGCAUGCUGAGUGAUGACCUGACCUGGCAAGUAGGCCUUGCUGGAAAACUCUUAGAGAAACAGAACUUUUAUUCAUCAGUGUAGGAUCUGUUUUUUUGCUGUGGAAGAAGGGUUUGAUUCUUUUCUGUCUUGUACUAUUAGAUCUGUUUGAAGCAAUGAAGUGAUUAUUUUAUUGA